AACAUCGCGCACCUGCGGGAACCUGCGGAAGGAUCAUUACAGAGUUGCAAAACUCCCUAAACCAUUGUGAACGUUACCUAAACCGUUGCUUCGGCGGGCGGCCCGGGUCCCUCCCGGCGCCCAUCGGCCCUCGCGGGCGCCCGCCGGAGGUAAACCAAACUAUUGCAUUGUAUGGCCUCUCUGAGUCUUCUGUACUGAAUAAGUCAAAACUUUUAACAAUGGAUCUCAGAUCGGAAGAGC
rnacentral:misc_RNA from 1 species